CACGUAGGGCGCAAGCGUUGUCCGGAAUUAUUGGGCGUAAAGAGCCCGUAGGCGGUCUGUUGCGUCCGCUGUGAAAACUCGGGGCUUAACCCCGAGCCUGCAGUGGAUACGGGCAGACUAGAGGUAGGUAGGGGAGAAUGGAAUUCCCGGUGUAGCGGUGGAAUGCGCAGAUAUCAGGAGGAACACCGGUGGCGAAGGCGGGUCUCUGGGCAGUAACUGACGCUGAGGAGCGAAAGCGUGGGGAGCGAACAGG
rnacentral:rRNA from 1 species